rnacentral:lncRNA from 1 species
AUGCAUAUCAACCUUAAGAACAACGGUGACCGGAGCAGUCGUCGAACUGUUCUGUUUCUUCUUCUUCUCCCCUUCUUCAACACCUCCGUAACAUUCACAAACCACAUUCUCCAUCUUCUUCUUCUUCUAUACAACAAGUUAAAGCACGAAUCAGAGAAGGAAACAAACAUUAUCAAAGACGCAUUUGCAGAGAAAAAAAAAACAGAGAGAGAGAGAACCUUUUGAUCAAUUGCUCUGAGAUUUCGAGUUUAUCGAGGGGAGGGUUUCAACAGAAGAGUGGUGAAGAUAUAGAAGACGACGAAAAAAAAGUUGCAGAGACGGCUCCUGC